GGAGAGGUGGCAGAGUGGUCGAAUGUACCUGACUCGAAAUCAGGCGAACGUGUAAGCGUACCGUGGGUUCGAAUCCCACCCUCUCCGCCA
rnacentral:tRNA from 1 species